rnacentral:rRNA from 1 species
GUUGGCGGCCAGAGGGCGGGUGAUCACCUCUUCCCAUCCCGAACAGAGAAGUUAAGCCCCGUUCCGCCGAUGAUACCAGGCAACUGGCAAAGUAGGUAACCGCCACAG